rnacentral:rRNA from 1 species
CGACCGGCGCACGGGUGAGUAACACGUAUCCAACCUGCCGAUGACUCGGGGAUAGCCUUUCGAAAGAAAGAUUAAUACCCGAUGGCAUAGUUCUUCCGCAUGGUAGAACUAUUAAAGAAUUUCGGUCAUCGAUGGGGAUGCGUUCCAUUAGCUUGUUGGCGGGGUAACGGCCCACCAAGGCAUUGAUGGAUAGGGGUUCUGAGAGGAAGGUCCCCCACAUUGGAACUGAGACACGGUCCAAACUCCUACGGAAGGCAGCAG